rnacentral:lncRNA from 1 species
UCCCACAACCUCCCAGCCAGCAAGCUUGCUUGCUAGGUAUCCUAGAAACCAUAGUCAACAAAGUCAGUUAAAAAAAACAAAACUCUGCCAGCACAAGAGUUGACAAGGGGGUGAAUCUGCUCUUUCUUAGCUCAGGGCAACAUAAGCAGCUUUGGAAAGAGAUCUCUGUAAGGAUGUCAUCUAAUAUUAGAAGACAAAAGAAAAAUUGCUGAAAGCCAAAAUCCACUUUAGGACGGGGGAAGAGGCAUAAUAUGGCAGCAUUAAAACAUUUUCUCGCCCUUGCAGAAAAAAAAGGUGGUAAGUAACAAUUGUUUCCUUUUUCCUCACAAGGGAGACAUAGAAUUUGAGGGCUGAACUAAGGGGAAUGCCAUUCAUAUAAUUUGC